AUCCAGAUGACGAGUCUCAAAUGGGACGAAACGCUCGUCCUGGAU
rfam:Schistosoma curassoni strain Dakar, Senegal genome assembly, scaffold: SCTD_contig0009070